AGCAGCCGCGGUAAUUCCAGCUCCAAUAGCGUAUAUUAAAGUUGUUGCAGUUAAAAAGCUCGUAGUUGAAUUUCGGGGUUAGUAGGUUGGUCAUGCCCCUGGUAUGUACUGGUCUCACUGAUUCCUCCUUCCUGAUGAGCCGUAAUGCCAUUAAUUUGGUGUUGCGGGGAAUCUGGACUGUUACUUUAGAAAAAAUU
rnacentral:misc_RNA from 1 species